rnacentral:rRNA from 1 species
GGGUUGUGAGGUUAAGCGACUAAGCGUACACGGUGGAUGCCCUGGCAGUCAGAGGCGAUGAAGGACGUGCUAAUCUGCGAUAAGCGUCGGUAAGGUGAUAUGAACCGUUAUAACCGGCGAUUUCCGAAUGGGGAAACCCAGUGUGUUUCGACACACUAUCAUUAACUGAAUCCAUAGGUUAAUGAGGCGAACCGGGGGAACUGAAACAUCUAAGUACCCCGAGGAAAAGAAAUCAACCGAGAUUCCCCCAGUAGCGGCGAGCGAACGGGGAGGAGCCCAGAGCCUGAAUCAGUGUGUGUGUUAGUGGAAGCGUCUGGAAAGGCGCGCGAUACAGGGUGACAGCCCCGUACACAAAAAUGCACAUACUGUGAGCUCGAUGAGUAGGGCGGGACACGUGGUAUCCUGUCUGAAUAUGGGGGGACCAUCCUCCAAGGCUAAAUACUCCUGACUGACCGAUAGUGAACCAGUACCGUGAGGGAAAGGCGAAAAGAACCCCGGCGAGGGGAGUGAAAAAGAACCUGAAACCGUGUACGUACAAGCAGUGGGAGCCUCUUUUAUGGGGUGACUGCGUACCUUUUGUAUAAUGGGUCAGCGACUUAUAUUCUGUAGCAAGGUUAACCGAAUAGGGGAGCCGAAGGGAAACCGAGUCUUAACUGGGCGUUAAGUUGCAGGGUAUAGACCCGAAACCCGGUGAUCUAGCCAUGGGCAGGUUGAAGGUUGGGUAACACUAACUGGAGGACCGAACCGACUAAUGUUGAAAAAUUAGCGGAUGACUUGUGGCUGGGGGUGAAAGGCCAAUCAAACCGGGAGAUAGCUGGUUCUCCCCGAAAGCUAUUUAGGUAGCGCCUCGUGAAUUCAUCUCCGGGGGUAGAGCACUGUUUCGGCAAGGGGGUCAUCCCGACUUACCAACCCGAUGCAAACUGCGAAUACCGGAGAAUGUUAUCACGGGAGACACACGGCGGGUGCUAACGUCCGUCGUGAAGAGGGAAACAACCCAGACCGCCAGCUAAGGUCCCAAAGUCAUGGUUAAGUGGGAAACGAUGUGGGAAGGCCCAGACAGCCAGGAUGUUGGCUUAGAAGCAGCCAUCAUUUAAAGAAAGCGUAAUAGCUCACUGGUCGAGUCGGCCUGCGCGGAAGAUGUAACGGGGCUAAACCAUGCACCGAAGCUGCGGCAGCGACGCUUAUGCGUUGUUGGGUA